rnacentral:rRNA from 1 species
UACGUAGGGGGCAAGCGUUGUCUGGAAUCAUUGGGCGUAAAGCGCGUGUAGGCGGCUCGAUAAGUCUGCUGUGAAAGUUCAGGGCUCAACCCUGAAAUGCCGGUGGAAACUGUCGAGCUAGAGUCCGGAAGAGGUGAGUGGAAUUCCUGGUGUAGCGGUGAAAUGCGCAGAUAUCAGGAGGAACACCAAUGGCGAAGGCAGCUCACUGGGACGGUACUGACGCUGAGACGCGAAAGCGUGGGGAGCGAACAGG